rnacentral:rRNA from 1 species
CCUACGGGCGGCAGCAGUGAGGAAUAUUGGUCAAUGGACGAGAGUCUGAACCAGCCAAGUAGCGUGAAGGAUGACUGCCCUAUGGGUUGUAAACUUCUUUUAUAUGGGAAUAAAAUGAUCCACGUGUGGGAUUUUGUAUGUACUAUAUGAAUAAGGAUCGGCUAACUCCGUGCCAGCAGCCGCGGUAAUACGGAGGAUCCGAGCGUUAUCCGGAUUUAUUGGGUUUAAAGGGAGCGUAGGUGGAUUGUUAAGUCAGUGGUGAAAGUUUGCGGCUCAACCGUAAAAUUGCAGUUGAAACUGGGAGUCUUGAGUACAGUAGAGGUAGGCGGAAUUCGUGGUGUAGCGGUGAAAUGCUUAGAUAUCACGAAGAACUCCGAUUGCGAAGGCAGCUUACUGGACUGUAACUGACGCUGAGGCUCGAAAGCGUGGGGAUCAAACAGGAUUAGAUACCCGAGUAGUC